rnacentral:rRNA from 1 species
GUAGGGAAUAUUGGGCAAUGGAGGCAACUCUGACCCAGCCUUGCCGCGUGCAGGAAGACGGUCCUCUGGAUUGUAAACUGCUUUUGAAUGGGAAGAAACGUAGCUUUGCGAAGCUAUUUGACGGUACUAUUAGAAUAAGCACCGGCUAACUCCGUGCCAGCAGCCGCGGUAAUACGGAGGGUGCAAGCGUUAUCCGGAUUUAUUGGGUUUAAAGGGUGCGUAGGCGGCUUUAUAAGUCUGGGGUUAAAGGCGGCAGCUUAACUGUACGCAUGCCCUGGAAACUGUGAAGCUUGAGUGACUUGGAGGUAGCUAGAAUUCCCUGUGUAGCGGUGAAAUGCAUAGAUACGGGGAGGAAUACCGAUUGCGAAGGCAUGUUACUACGAGUAAACUGACGCUGAUGCACGAAAGCGUGGGGAUCAAACAGGAUUAGAUACCCUGGUAGUCC